rnacentral:rRNA from 1 species
AUGGCGGUCUCCUGCUCCUCUUCCUCCAUCUUGGGCUCCGCCAAAGCCCUAGCUUCCUUCCAUAUCUCCCACCUCGCCCCCCAAAGAACAGCAUCAGCCCGCUUGCGCCUGCAGUGUAUCAAGAUGUGCUCUGCUCCGGCUGCGCCAGGGGGGUCAAAGAAGACCGUCUGGGUAUGGACAGAGAACCGGCAGGUGAUGACGGCUGCCGUAGAGAGGGGUUGGAACACUUUCCUCUUUGGAUCCAAAGAUGUCGGCAAGGACUGGUCAUCAACUGCUCGCAUCCAUCCUCUCUUUAUUGACGGCCUGGAGAUUUUCGAUGAGGGGAACCAAAAGGUUGCUGCAAUUUCUGAAAUCUCUUCCCCAGGUGGGCUGCAACUCAUACAGCCAGACAAUGUGGAAGUACAGAACACCGUGAUUCAUUUCCGAGGUGAUUGGCAGGUUAUACCAGCAGAAAAUAUAGUUGCUGCCUUCCAAGGAUGUGCAGGAAUUGUAUUGGCUGUUUCGACAAACUCAACUGAGGCUCAAGUUUUUCUUGAGGCCUUGGAGCAAGGGCUUGAUGGAGUUGUACUUAAAGUAGAGGACAUGGAUGAUAUUAUUAAACUCAAGGAUUAUUUUGACAGAAGGAACGAGGCAAAGAGCCAGUUACAGUUGACAAAGGCUACUGUAUCAAAGGUUGAAGUUGUUGGUAUGGGCGAUCGUGUUUGUGUGGACCUCUGUAGUAUCAUGCGACCCGGUGAAGGCCUUCUGGUUUGUGUCGGUUCCUAUGCAAGAGGAAUGUUCCUUGUUCACUCGGAGUGCUUGGAGACAAACUACAUUGCUAGCAGACCUUUCAGGGUCAAUGCAGGGCCUGUGCAUGCAUAUGUUACAGUCCCUGGGGACAAGACUAGCUACCUCUCAGAGCUGCAAUCAGGUAGGGAAGUAAUCGUUGUUGAUCAAAAUGGGUUGUGGCGAACUUCAAUUGUUGGCCGCGUGAAGAUUGAAUCAAGGCCUCUCAUCCUUGUAGAAGCAAAGGAGAACUCUGGAAAUGGUACAUAUAGCAUUUUCCUUCAAAAUGCAGAGACAGUUGCACUUAUCGGUCCUGACAGAGGAUCUGGUGGAAGGACUGCUAUUCCUGUGACUUCACUGAAAGUUGGCGACGAAGUUUUGGUGAGGAAGCAGGGCGGCGCCCGUCACACUGGAAUAGAGAUUCAGGAGUUUAUUGUCGAGAAAUGA